GUAGGGUGGCAAGCGUUGUCCGGAAUUAUUGGGCGUAAAGCGCGCGCAGGCGGUCCUUUAAGUCUGAUGUGAAAGCCCACGGCUCAACCGUGGAGGGUCAUUGGAAACUGGGGGACUUGAGUACAGAAGAGGAAAGCGGAAUUCCAAGUGUAGCGGUGAAAUGCGUAGAGAUUUGGAGGAACACCAGGGGCGAAGGCGGCUUUCUGGUCUGUAACUGACGCUGAGGCGCGAAAGCGUGGGGAGCAAACAGGAUUAGAUACCCUGGUAGUCCACGCCGUAAACGAUGAGUGCUAAGUGUUAGGGGGUUUCCGCCCCUUAGUGCUGCAGCUAACGCAUUAAGCACUCCGCCUGGGGAGUACGGCCGCACGGCUG
rnacentral:rRNA from 1 species